GAUCAUGGCUCAGAUUGACACGCUGGCUGGCAGGCCUAACACAUGCAAGUCGAGCGGUAGCACAAGGGAGUUUACUCCUGAGGGUGGCGAGCGGCGGACGGGUGAGUAAUGCCUAGGGAUCUGCCCAGUCGAGGGGGAUAACAGUUGGAAACGACUGCUAAUACCGCAUACGCCCUACGGGGGAAAGAGGGGGACCUUCGGGCCUCUCGCGAUUGGAUGAACCUAGGUGGGAUUAGCUACGUUGGUGAGGUAAUGGCUCACCAAGGCGACGAUCCCUAGCUGUUCUGAGAGGAUGAUCAGCCACACUGGGACUGAGACACGGCCCAGACUCCUACGGGAGGCAGCAGCUGGGGAAUAUUGCACAAUGGGGGAAACCCUGAUGCAGCCAUGCCGCGUGUGUGAAGAAGGCCUUCGGCGUUGUAAAGCACUUUCAGUAGGGAGGAAAGGGUGAGUCUUAAUACGGCUCAUCUGUGACGUUACCUACAGAAGAAGGACCGGCUAACUACCGUGCCAGACAGCCGCGGUAAUACGGAGGGUCCGAGCG
rnacentral:rRNA from 1 species